GAGGGACUCGCUGCUUUUCCGUCAUCUCAAGACAGAAAUCCCCAGUCGGCCCCGGUGGAAAUGACAGCCGUUCCUCCGUCCCCAACCUUCCCAUUUACCUUUAGCCCUGCCAGCCCACCACGUCAAGGCACCUCCGAUACCAAAUCUCCAGCUUUCCUGUUCUCCCUGAACUCUGAUCCCAGCACGCUGGCCUUCUCUGGGUUCGGAUUUGACCGCGGCUCUUCUCAGGAGGAGGAGUCUCCUUUCGCUUUUACCUGCCCCCUUUUCAACGAGAAGAAAAACUCAGAACCGAAGUCUUCAACCUGCCCGGAGUUCCUGUUUGGACAACCAGAGCAAAGUGAAGCCUUCAAGUUUCCCUUUCCAUCCCAAAACCCUCGGACAACCGACAAAGAGGACACCAGGGAGGAUUUCCCAUUUUCAUUCAACUUUUGAGGAAUCGAUGACAGAUGUCUGAAAUGCUGAGUUAGUGUUUUUAAAGCAGUUUGUUGCUUAUUUUCUUGGUUGACGACACGUCUCUUAG
ensembl:lncRNA